GAUGAACGCUAGCGGCAGGCCUAAUACAUGCAAGUCGGACGGGAUUGGAGAGCUUGCUUUCCAUGAGAGUGGCGCACGGGUGCGUAACACGUAUGUAACCUACCUUUAUCAGGGGGAUAGCCUCUCGAGAGAGAGAUUAACACCGCAUAAAAUCACAGAACGGCAUCGUUUAAUGAUCAAAUAUUUAUAGGAUAAAGAUGGGCAUGCGGGACAUUAGCUAGAUGGUGAGGUAACGGCUCACCAUGGCCAUGAUGUCUAGGGGAUCUGAGAGGAUGGCCCCCCACACUGGUACUGAGGCACGGGCCAGACUCCUACGGGAGGCAGCAGUAAGGAAUAUUGGUCAAUGGGCGGAAGUCUGAACCAGCCAUGCCGCGUGCAGGAAGGCGGCCCUACGGGUUGUAAACUGCUUUUGUGCGGGAAUAAACCCAGAUACGAGUAUCUGGCUGAAUGUACUGUAAGAAUAAGGAUCGGCUAACUCCGUGCCAGCCGCCGCAGUAA
rnacentral:rRNA from 1 species